rnacentral:rRNA from 1 species
UGCAGUCGAGCGGACCGUACGGGAGCUUGCUCCCUUAGGUCAGCGGCGGACGGGUGAGUAACACGUGGGUAACCUGCCUGUAAGACUGGGAUAACUCCGGGAAACCGGGGCUAAUACCGGAUGCUUGAUUGAACCGCAUGGUUCAAUUAUAAAAGGUGGCUUUUAGCUACCACUUACAGAUGGACCCGCGGCGCAUUAGCUAGUUGGUGAGGUAACGGCUCACCAAGGCAACGAUGCGUAGCCGACCUGAGAGGGUGAUCGGCCACACUGGGACUGAGACACGGCCCAGACUCCUACGGGAGGCAGCAGUAGGGAAUCUUCCGCAAUGGACGAAAGUCUGACGGAGCAACGCCGCGUGAGUGAUGAAGGUUUUCGGAUCGUAAAACUCUGUUGUUAGGGAAGAACAAGUACCGUUCGAAUAGGGCGGUACCUUGACGGUACCUAACCAGAAAGCCACGGCUAACUACGUGCCAGCAGCCGCGGUAAUACGUAGGUGGCAAGCGUUGUCCGGAAUUAUUGGGCGUAAAGCGCGCGCAGGCGGUUUCUUAAGUCUGAUGUGAAAGCCCCCGGCUCAACCGGGGAGGGUCAUUGGAAACUGGGGAACUUGAGUGCAGAAGAGGAGAGUGGAAUUCCACGUGUAGCGGUGAAAUGCGUAGAGAUGUGGAGGAACACCAGUGGCGAAGGCGACUCUCUGGUCUGUAACUGACGCUGAGGCGCGAAAGCGUGGGGAGCGAACAGGAUUAGAUACCCUGGUAGUCCACGCCGUAAACGAUGAGUGCUAAGUGUUAGAGGGUUUCCGCCCUUUAGUGCUGCAGCAAACGCAUUAAGCACUCCGCCUGGGGAGUACGGUCGCAAGACUGAAACUCAAAGGAAUUGACGGGGGCCCGCACAAGCGGUGGAGCAUGUGGUUUAAUUCGAAGCAACGCGAAGAACCUUACCAGGUCUUGACAUCCUCUGACAACCCUAGAGAUAGGGCUUCCCCUUCGGGGGCAGAGUGACAGGUGGUGCAUGGUUGUCGUCAGCUCGUGUCGUGAGAUGUUGGGUUAAGUCCCGCAACGAGCGCAACCCUUGAUCUUAGUUGCCAGCAUUCAGUUGGGCACUCUAAGGUGACUGCCGGUGACAAACCGGAGGAAGGUGGGGAUGACGUCAAAUCAUCAUGCCCCUUAUGACCUGGGCUACACACGUGCUACAAUGGGCAGAACAAAGGGCAGCGAAGCCGCGAGGCUAAGCCAAUCCCACAAAUCUGUUCUCAGUUCGGAUCGCAGUCUGCAACUCGACUGCGUGAAGCUGGAAUCGCUAGUAAUCGCGGAUCAGC